rnacentral:lncRNA from 1 species
AUGAUUCUGUUUUGGGAACAUUCUGUAAUUCUUCAUAGAUUUUUAAAUUGGAAGGGGAGUGUCUUAGUUUCUCUUAUUUAUCCUCCCCCUUUCAGAGGAGACAGCAAGACCCAGAAAAGUGAAGAACCUGCCUGGACAUGGUCAGUGGCAGAGUCAGAAGUGGAACUCAAGCCUUUUACUUGUCCCCCCACGUUUUUGACGCAGAGUUUUUAUAUAGCUCCUCAAGGGGAGGAGGGAACAGAAGGGGCCCUGCAGUCCAAGAAGCAGAUGAAAUAAUUUUCCUACAGAUAUUGCUUCAAGGAUCAGGCUGGAACUCACAGAGCACCAGAACAACGAAGGAUACAAACAUCCCAAAGGUGUACAUUAAGAUUAAAUUUGCACAUUGAACAGGAAAAAAUUGCACUUUAUGACUGAACUUUUGAGUUGUUUCUGCAUGGAUUUUAGAUAAGCAUAUGUAAUGAAAUAUUGUAAAGCAUAGACAGCAAUAUCUGCCAGCCACAUUUAUUAAGAUUGAAUGCACAUGGAGCAUUAAGAUGCCAUACAAUACAAUUUGUUAUGUUAAAUUUUAAGAAAUUUCAAGGCAGAUUAUUAGAACAUUAGGAUAAGUUACCUGCCUUAUUCUUCUACUAUUAUCAUUCCUAUUAUUGUUAUUUUUUCUCUCUCAUCAUUAGCAACCUUCAUUUCUUUGGUGUUUGCAGGCAUCCACUACCUUGAAAACCCUUUUGGUUUUUCAUUUCCUUUCUUUCUUCCUUGCCUUCUUCUCCACUCUCCCUUCCUGUUCUCUCACGCUCUCUCUCUCUCCAUCUCCAGUUAUCCAGAUGUUUUCUUUAAUGCUAAAAUUAAUGCCACUUUUGAAUUCAUUCUUUGAUUUUAAGCUUUAAACACCUGAUCUUUUCUGCCUUGUACUUCACUACUGAAUUGUAUUUAGAAUUUUGUCAAGUCUAGUUUGGUUCAGUGGGCUCUUCUCUAUUUAAGACCUUAGGUCCUGGCUUCUCCAGGUUAAGUGGAAUCACUUGCUCUAAACAGGAUGCUUCUCUUCACUGUGUGAUCAUAGGCCUAUGAUGGCUGUGCUAGGAAACGACAUUGACUUCAGAUCCAUGGCUCAUUAAAACACUGUACAGAGUUUCAAAAAAGAAUGCUAACAUAAGCGUGUGCCUUAGACUGUUUAAAAAGGCCAUGUAAUUACAGUCAAUAAGAAUAUAUACUGAGUAAAACUACAGGAAAGUAGGAUUUUAUGCCUGCAGCCUGACAUAAUAUAAUUACAUGCAUUAUAUAUAGACUUGAAUGAAAAUGAAACCACCUCAGCAGCCUUUUCGUAUAAAUGGGUCUUGACAGGACUAUUCUUCUUGGCUCCUGAGGAGGGGUUUCCUCAAGAGAAUGUAUUAAAGGGGAAAUAAUAUUUGGAUUUUCUGACUUUCAUGAAUGUCUGUAAAAAGUGUCUAGCUUCCUUUUGUGUCAUGGAUGUUUGAGUGUCGUGGGUGUUUGUAAAGCCCAUCUGCUAUGAUAGCCAUGGGAAGUGAACCAUGGCUGCCUAAUCAGCUCCAGUUUGUCCUGGUGGUUCUAGAGCCCAGUCCUAAGCCCAAAGUCAAAAUGAGAUGCUUGGGAAACAGAAAUAGGGAGAUGGUUGGUGGAGAGGACAUUUUUAGUAUUGGCAAUCUAACUGUAGAACUGUAUUUGGUGAACCAAUACAUCUCUAGUAAAAAUAACUAGUAUGAAAGGUGCUUUUUAAAAAAGUGACUUCCACUUCUAAAUAGCAUGCAGGUAACUCGUUAAAUAAAGAGGCUCAAAUUAUGUACUUGCUGAAAACU